AUAAAAAACCAAUGCCUUCGGGCUCCUUGGUGAUUCAUGAUAACUUAACGAAUCGCAUGGCCUUGCGCCGGCGAUGGUUCAUUCAAAUUUCUGCCCUAUCAACUUUCGAUGGUAGGAUAGUGGCCUACCAUGGUUUCAACGGGUAACGGGGAAUUAGGGUUCGAUUCCGGAGAGGGAGCCUGAGAAACGGCUACCACACCCAAGGAAGGCAGCAGGCGCGCAAAUUACCCAAUCCCAAUUCGGGGAGGUAGUGACAAUAAAUACUGAUACAGGGCUCUUUUGGGUCUUGUAAUUGGAAUGAGUACAAUUUAAAUCCCUUAACGAGGAACAAUUGGAGGGCAAGUCUGGUGCCAGCAGCCGCGGUAAUUCCAGCUCCAAUAGCGUAUAUUAAAGUUGUUGCAGUUAAAAAGCUCGUAGUUGAACCUUGGGUCUGGCUGCCCGGUCCGCCUAACCGCGUGCACUGGUGCGGCCGGAUCUUUCCUUCUGGCUAACCUCAUGCCCUUUACUGGGUGUGCU
rnacentral:rRNA from 1 species